rnacentral:rRNA from 1 species
UACGGCCUACGGGAGGCAGCAGUGGGGAAUAUUGCACAAUGGGGGAAACCCUGAUGCAGCGACGCCGCGUGAGUGAAGAAGUAUUUCGGUAUGUAAAGCUCUAUCAGCAGGGAAGAAAAAAGACGGUACCUGACCAAGAAGCCCCGGCUAACUACGUGCCAGCAGCCGCGGUAAUACGUAGGGGGCAAGCGUUAUCCGGAUUUACUGGGUGUAAAGGGAGCGUAGACGGAAUAGCAAGUCUGAUGUGAAAACCCGGGGCUCAACUCCGGGAGUGCAUUGGAAACUGUUGAUCUAGAGUGUCGGAG